AGCGAACGCUGGCGGCAGGCCUAACACAUGCAAGUCGAACGAACACUUCGGAGUUAGUGGCGGACGGGUGAGUAACACGUGGGAACGUGCCUUUAGGUUCGGAAUAACUCAGGGAAACUUGUGCUAAUACCGAAUGUGCCCUUCGGGGGAAAGAUUUAUCGCCUUUAGAGCGGCCCGCGUCUGAUUAGCUAGUUGGUGAGGUAAAGGCUCACCAAGGCGACGAUCAGUAGCUGGUCUGAGAGGAUGAUCAGCCACAUUGGGACUGAGACACGGCCCAAACUCCUACGGGAGGCAGCAGUGGGGAAUCUUGCGCAAUGGGCGAAAGCCUGACGCAGCCAUGCCGCGUGAAUGAUGAAGGUCUUAGGAUUGUAAAAUUCUUUCACCGGGGACGAUAAUGACGGUACCCGGAGAAGAAGCCCCGGCUAACUUCGUG
rnacentral:rRNA from 1 species